GGACAACCUGCCCUCGGGAGGGGGAUAACCCCGGGAAACUGGGGCUAAACCCCCAUAGGUGAUGGAUACUGGAAUGUUCCAUCACCGAAAGUCCGCAAGGGGCCGAGGAUGGGUCUGCGGCGGAUUAGGUAGUUGGUGGGGUAACGGCCCACCAAGCCUAAGAUCCGUACGGGCCAUGGGAGUGGGAGCCCGGAGAUGGACCCUGAGACAAGGGUCCAGGCCCUACGGGGCGCAGCAGGCGCGAAACCUCCGCAAUGCGGGAAACCGCGACGGGGUCAGCCGGAGUGCCGAUGCUUGCAUCGGCUGUCGGGGAGCCUAAAAAGCUCCCCAUAGCAAGGGCCGGGCAAGGCCGGUGGCAGCCGCCGCGGUAAUACCGGCGGCCCGAGUGGCGGCCACUAUUAUUGGGCUUAAAGCGUCCGUAGCCGGGUUGGUUAGUCUCCCGGGAAAUCUGGCCGCUUAACGGUCAGAAUUCCGGGAGAUACUGCCAGCCUAGGGACCGGGAGAGGCCGAGGGUAUUCCCGGAGUAGGGGUGAAAUCCUAUAAUCCCGGGAGGACCACCUGUGGCGAAGGCGCUCGGCUGGAACGGGUCCGACGGUGAGGGACGAAGGCCAGGGGAGCAAACCGGAUUAGAUACCCGGGUAGUCCUGGCUGUAAACGAUGCGGACUUUGUGUCGGACAAGCUAUGAGCUUGUCCGGUG
rnacentral:rRNA from 1 species